AUUAAUAUCCAUUAUAUCUUCAACAUGUAAUAUGCAUUAAUUACUUUCUUAAAAUAACUAAAAUGAUUGGUCCAUAAUCAAUCAUACAUGCACACAAUAGAUAGUGAAAACAAAAUAACCUAACCCUAUAUAUAUAUAUAUAUAUAUAGGUAAAGGUUCAAAUGAGAACCAAAAAAUAAUAAGAACCAUAAGAACCAUUAUAACUUAUUUUUGUAAAUUUAACUUAAUGUUAUAAAACAUACAUAUUUUUCAUUGUUACGAUCAGAUCUAAGUUAUAACAUUUCAAAAUCUUUCAAAAAACUUUCCCAACAUUUUUUAAAGAACACAGACCCAAAGAUCUCCACCACCACCAACUACCGCCGACGACGCCACCACCACCAACUAUCGUCGGCAGCAACACCACCGCCGACACCACCGCAGAAGGCCGAACACCUCCACCAGUAGAUCGACGUGUCUAUUUACAUCAGAUCUAACCAGAUCUGAUGUGUUUGUGCAAUUUCAUGUUAGGUUUGGCUAACAACCACUUCUAACGAGAUUGAAGGAGCUCCAACGAUAUCUGGUUUUGUGUUCUUCAGGUUAUACAUUUGAUUUUGUGUUAUUUAUAUCAGAUCUCUUAAAAAUGUUUGUUGUUUUUCAUCUCAAGAUCCGGUAAACCAUUUUUUUCUCCAGAUCUACGACUGCCUCCAUUUUUUCUCUGUUUUGCUCCGGUGAACCAUCAACCUCCACUCUCAAACCUUACCGGAGAGCCAAACAACAUCACUUGACGUCAAAGAUGAUGAGGCUAUUAUUGUUCUGUCAAGAUAUGAUGUUUUUUGUUGAUUAUGGAUCUGAUGUAUGUGGUGCAUAUAAAGUGUUUGAUGAAAUGCCUCAACGAAAUUCAGUAAGUGAAUAUGUAUUUUUAUGUGUUAAUUUGUGAAUAUGUAAAUUAUUAAGUUAUGAAUACACUUUUUAUUCACUAAGCUAUGAACUAGUAUCUGAAAUGUUGAAUUAAGCUAUGAAUUCUGAUUUUUUUUAUCUAGAUAUGAUUUAUGAAGGAACGAUGUUGGCAAAAUACGGUAGUUAGCGGUGUUGUUGUUGGUGGUGAUGGUAGAGUAAGGAUAUAGUCUAUUUCUCUCAUCUUCUUCAUUGAUUUCAGAUAAGUUAUCAUCUCUUAUGAUUCAUAUAUAUGUUUUUUUUAAUGUUUGCUUCUAAAAUAUGCCAUAAUUAUGUGUGUAUUAAACUGUGAAUUGGUUGUUUAAUACGAUGAAAUAUGAAAUUAUACUUAUAAAUGAGUUGUGAAUGUAUUGUAUUAAACUGUGAAUUUUGUGUAUUAAGCUGUAAAGUUUAUUCACAGCUUAGUAUAAUAAAUUCACAAUUUAAUACACAAAAACGAAGCUAAAUAUAUACGUAUAAAUGUAAGUUUUAAGUUGAUAAUAUAUAAGUUUUGUUUAUUAAACUGUGAACUUAUUGUAUUAAGCUGUGAAUUUUUUAUAUUAAAUUAUGAAGUGACUGUAUUAAGCUGUGAAUUGUUUGUAUUAAGCUGUGAACUUUUUAUGAAUUUUGUGGUUUCUUCAAAAAUAUGAAAAUAAAUAAACAUUGUACAUAUAUUCGAUUUUCUCUAAUUUUGAAUAAAAUAUGUAAAAUUUAAAUUGUGAAUAUUGUAUAAUUUAAAAUUUGAAAGAAGCACUAUCUUCCAGAUAUUUAAGGUAUAAAUGUAAUUUUUACAUUGACAAUAUGGCUGUAAAUGUAUAAUUUUGUAUUAAAUUGUGAAUUUAUUAUAUUAAAUUGUGAAUUUUGUGUAUUAAACUGUGAAUCAACUGUAUUAAAAUAUGAAUAGUUAUAAAUUUUGUGUUAAAAUAUGAUAUAUUUAUAUAUAAAUGUUUGUAUUAAUUUUCUUGUGAAUAUAUUUAUUCUUUGUGUUGUAUAAAUAUAUAAGAAUAUAGUAGUUUUAAUAUUUGUUUUCCAUUAAACUUUAAAUGAGUGAAUUAAUAAGUUUAUUAAACUGUGAAUGUAUUAUUUAAGUUGUCAAUGUAUGAUUUUAUAUACAGAUCUAAUUUGGAAUGAAAGAUUGUGGCAACGUUGGCACAAGUGGUUGUUGGCGGCGUGUGGUAGUUGGUGGUGGUAGUAGAGUUUGAUAUUGUCUUUUCUAAAUCUUUGAAUUAAUG
rnacentral:lncRNA from 1 species